UUAAUAACUUGAGGUUUGUCUGAGGUGCCUGAAAUUUUAGCUCAAACCUAAUAAUAGAAGGUGAGCAAAGUUUCAGGUGUAUCAGCUGAACUUAUAUAUCU
rnacentral:pre_miRNA from 1 species